AGUGUACGCUGACGGUAGGCCUAACACAUGCAAGUCGAACGGCAGCACAGUAAGAGCUUGCUCUUACGGGUGGCGAGUGGCGGACGGGUGAGGAAUACAUCGGAAUCUACUUUUUCGUGGGGGAUAACGUAGGGAAACUUACGCUAAUACCGCAUACGACCUACGGGUGAAAGCAGGGGAUCUUCGGACCUUGCGCGAUUGAAUGAGCCGAUGUCGGAUUAGCUAGUUGGCGGGGUAAAGGCCCACCAAGGCGACGAUCCGUAGCUGGUCUGAGAGGAUGAUCAGCCACACUGGAACUGAGACACGGUCCAGACUCCUACGGGAGGCAGCAGUGGGGAAUAUUGGACAAUGGGCGCAAGCCUGAUCCAGCCAUACCGCGUGGGUGAAGAAGGCCUUCGGGUUGUAAAGCCCUUUUGUUGGGAAAGAAAAGCAGCAGGUUAAUACCCCGCUGUUCUGACGGUACCCAAAGAAUAAGCACCGGCUAACUUCGUG
rnacentral:rRNA from 1 species